rnacentral:tRNA from 1 species
GCUUUUAAAGGAAACGAGCCUUCCCCUGGUUUUAGGGUCCAGUACCUCUUGGUGCAAGUCCAAGUAAAAGCU